rnacentral:rRNA from 1 species
UACGUAGGCAGCAAGCGUUGUUCGGAGUUACUGGGCGUAAAGAGUGCGUAGGUGGUGCCCUAAGUCUGUUGUGAAAUCUCCCGGCUUAACUGGGAGGGUGCGGUGGAAACUGGGGUGCUUGAGUGUGGGAGAGGUAAGCGGAAUUCCUGGUGUAGCGGUGAAAUGCGCAGAUAUCAGGAGGAACACCGAUGGCGAAGGCAGGUCUCUGGGCCGAUACUGACGCUGAGGAGCGAAAGCGUGGGGAGCGAACAGG